GCUCAGAUUGAACGCUAGCGGGAUGCCUUACACAUGCAAGUCGAACGGCAGCACGGACUUCGGUCUGGUGGCGAGUGGCGAACGGGUGAGUAAUGUAUCGGAACGUGCCUAGUAGCGGGGGAUAACUACGCGAAAGCGUAGCUAAUACCGCAUACGCCCUACGGGGGAAAGCAGGGGAUCGCAAGACCUUGCACUAUUAGAGCGGCCGAUAUCGGAUUAGCUAGUUGGUGGGGUAACGGCUCACCAAGGCGACGAUCCGUAGCUGGUUUGAGAGGACGACCAGCCACACUGGGACUGAGACACGGCCCAGACUCCUACGGGAGGCAGCAGUGGGGAAUUUUGGACAAUGGGGGAAACCCUGAUCCAGCCAUCCCGCGUGUGCGAUGAAGGCCUUCGGGUUGUAAAGCACUUUUGGCAGGAAAGAAACGCCGCGGGUUAAUACCCUGCGGAACUGACGGUACCUGCAGAAUAAGCACCGGCUAACUACGUGCCAGCAGCCGCGGUAAUACGUAGGGUGCAAGCGUUAAUCGGAAUUACUGGGCGUAAAGCGUGCGCAGGCGGUUCGGAAAGAAAGAUGUGAAAUCCCAGAGCUUAACUUUGGAACUGCAUUUUUAACUACCGAGCUAGAGUGUGUCAGAGGGAGGUGGAAUUCCGCGUGUAGCAGUGAAAUGCGUAGAUAUGCGGAGGAACACCGAUGGCGAAGGCAGCCUCCUGGGAUAACACUGACG
rnacentral:rRNA from 1 species